CCUUCGAUAGCUCAGUUGCUAGAGCGGUGGACUGUAGAUGUUGUGAUGGUUAUCCAUAGGUCGCUGGUUCGAAUCCGGCUCGAAGGA
rfam:Ciona savignyi cont_20867, whole genome shotgun sequence.